ensembl:lncRNA
ACAGGUCCAUGCCACUGUGCAUAACUAAUUUUUUGUAUUUUUUGUACAGAUAGGGGUCUCACUUUGUUCCCCUGGCUGGUCUCAAACUCCUGGACUCAAGCUAUCUUUUUGCUUAGGCCUCCCGAAAUGCUGGAAUUACAGGGAUAGAAACUUGAACUUUCUGGAAAUAAUCACCUUACUUGUGGGGAGGAAUAUGUGAAGAAUCUACUAGAAGGAUCAAGGAUUGGUGUACAUAAUCCAGGCUGGUGUGGAUUUGAUGGUGGUCAUAAUAUUUGCAAAGAAGACAGACAGAUCCCUGGAAAUCUCAUCAGAGAGGGUGGAGAAGAUGGGGGAGAGGUCUUGCAGGAUGUCAGGAUUUGAGCAUCUCAGGUUUCUGGCUACUUUCCUUUCCUUCAUGUUCUCACAAUUUAUUGGGAUUAUUUACAUUUUUGCAUAUAAAUAUCAAUAUCAUUUUGAAAAAAACUGUUAUAUAGAAGAUUUUUGUAGCAUUUAUGCUAGCUUAAUUGAAAUGUUUUUGCUCUCAUCUUUUAAUAUCUAAUGUAAUUGUUUAUUGCAAUUUAAAUAAUGACAAUGUUUAUGUUUCCUAUUCUCAUUUUCUAUUGAAACUUGGAAUUUCAUAAUCAUGCAGUCAUAGUCGUACACUGAUAAUAAUUGUUAUGCAUCUGUGUGUUCCAAUGCAGAAAAUUUUUAUUGCAUAUGUCUUCAUUUCAGUAAUGCAAUGGUAAGCAUUUGUUUCCAAUACAAUUGCAAGCUGUUCUUAAUGUAAACAUCAUAUUCCAUCAGCCUCACAAAUCCACAAGCAACCGCACUUCAGUAAGCAUCUGCAUUCUUAUCUCCAUUUCUCCAGGGAAUACAUUUUCACUUUGGUAAUUUUGCCUGUACUUUUAGGAUUAAAUGUAUGCCUCUCACACUGGAGUGAGGAGGGGCAUACUAAUUAAUCACUAAGUAGGCAGUUCAUCUCCUAACACUUAGAAAGAAAAGAAGAGAAAAGUUAAAAAAAAAAAGACUCCACUGUCUUUUAUCACUGAUUUCUUAUGAGAGUUUUCCAAGUAUUCUGGAUGAACCCAAGAGAAAUCAUAUUAUCUCUGUCCAUGGUAGCGUGUACUAGCCUGUAUGCAUUUUAGGUGGUAAAACAAAUGCAAGAAGAAGAAAGGUAUUUGUUUUUCCUACCAAAUGGCCAGUCUAUUUUGUGGUCCUACCAUUAUUUUAGUAAUGGUAGGACCAUUACUAAAUACUUAAUUAGCAUUAAGAUGUUAAUUUCAAGACUAGGGUAGCCAUCGAAGGAAUUGGUCAGGAUAGGCAGUGCCAGGUAAAUUAGAGUAAAAGCCACUUGCUUUCUUCUCCCCGCUCCAUUUAAACAUUUGAGCCUAAUGCUCUUUGCCAGCAAAUUGUGUUACUGAUACUACGAGUCUCUAACAGUAAUUAAUGAUAAGUAUAAUUUAAUACGUGCAUGUUCUAUGCAAAUAAGUGUGCUAAUUUCAUAUAUUUCUUCAUUUAAAACAGUUACGAUCCCAUGAGACACAUAUGACUUCCUCCAGUGUACAGAUAAGGCCAUUGAAGCUCAUAGAGUUCAGUAACUUGCCUGAGGCAAUGUGGCAACUAAAUGUGGAGCUGCCAUUUGAGCACAUGUCUUUGAGACUCCAAAGCCUUUACUUAAGUUAUAAGAUAGACCACUUUCCUAAGGCUUUAUAUCAUUCUGUUCUACCAAAAAUUAUUGUGAAUCCUUCAAGAAGAAAAGCUAUGCACUUUCCUUCAACCAUCAUUAACUAAACAAGUUAUUUUAUUAUGCUCUCUAGGAAAUGUAUAUGUAAGAAUAUGAACUAUUUCCCCAAAAGAACUUGAGAUCUAAGCAUAAAGAUUAUACAAAUGCAAGAGUAAUCAUAACACAACAAAAAGUGGUAAGUAUCAUGAAAGAAGCACAGGUGGGUUUUGUUUGAUAGAGAAUUAGGUUCCAGCUGAGGAUACCAGAGAAUCUUCAUGAACACAGGCCAGAGAUAGCCUAAUAUGGAAAUGUAAAAAUGGAGAUACGUAUUAACAGGCAAACAUUGAUACCCACACACAGCCACAUGUUUUAGGAGGUUCUCACACCUGCAUCAUUCACAGGGCUGGUGGAUGCUAUAGGCCCUUCAGCAAAUUAUAUUCUCUCUUUGACCCUAUCUCCUAUAAAUUGAAGGGAAUGGCUUGUAGGAUCAAUAGUCUAUAUCUCUAUGUUCAUAUUUUGAUUAAGUUUGGAGCCAAAGGGGAAAAAAAUCCAAGGGGGGGAAGAGAAAUAUAUCAUAUACUCCUGAGGAAUGGUUGCAGAGGAAAGUAAAGGUGGGCAUUGCAGAGAUAAGAGAAUAUGGAAGUUCUUCUACAAGCCCAGAGGCCUGGUCCUGGGAAGAACCUUUCUAUCUUCUAUGGCCACAAGAAGAUAAUGCUUGAUGUCCAUCUUGUCCCCACCCUUUGGAGAACUGUACUCUUGUCUCCUCUUUGACUUAUACGGCUGACAUGGUAAGACAGGAUGCUGGCUGGUCUUCAAAUUCAGGCUGCUUCUGUCGGCUGGCUGGUAGACUGCCGGGACUCAGAUGAGCUUCGCAGAUCAGAUUUCUAAAAGAAAUUCUUAUAGUGCUACAAUUCAGGAAACAUAGAUUAAAUACAAAGUAUAACACUGGUUUGGUAUGUAGGUGUCCAGUAAAUGUCUACCAAAAACCAGGAAGGACGUGCUUGAAACAAGCCAACGGUAGUUUUCCAAAUGACCUAGCUCUUCUUUGUCUGAUGGUAAGUCAGGGGGUCUUGCUUGAGAUUUGAGAAUUUCCCUCCCAUUAGCUACCCUUUUUAUAUUUUAUUGGCCAAAAGUAACAGUAUAAUUUUCAAAGAAAAGUAUGUCACAAAAAUAGACAUUGAAUCAAUGGACAAUUAAGCAUCCAUUAAUAAAAAUAUGCCGACUAUGUUCUUAAGAAAGUGUAAAUGAAGUAGCAUUAAGUGAAAAUGUCAAAUAAAAAUUAUUAUAUAUAUGCUAUAAUUAUUAUAAUGGUUAUAUGUGGAAAGAUUUAAAAUAAGCCAAGAAAAGAUGAAAAUAGUUGCUUAAAUAAAAAGAAUAUAUUUCUUUGAGAAUCUUAUUUAAUAAUUUUUUAUGAAAAAAAUUAUCAUAUUUCUUCUCAUCGUUGUUAAAUAUCCAAACCGUGCCGAGAACAUAAAAUUCUUUAUAUGAUCUCAUCUCCUUCCCCACUCCCAAGGGGUAACCACUUGUAACAAGCUGCUGGAAUACUUCCAGACUUCUAAUGAAUAUACAACCAUACUCACACGUAUUUCUUCAUAAAUGAGAC